rnacentral:rRNA from 1 species
CGGGACGGGUGAGUAAUGUCUGGGAAACUGCCUGAUGGAGGGGGAUAACUGCUGGAAACGGUAGCUAAUACCGCAUAACGUCGCAAGACCAAAGAGGGGGACCUUCGGGCCUCUUGCCAUCGGAUGUGCCCAGAUGGGAUUAGCUAGUAGGUGGGGUAACGGCUCACCUAGGCGACGAUCCCUAGCUGGUUUGAGAGGAUGGCCAGCCACACUGGAACUGAGACACGGUCCAG